AUUGAACGCUGGCGGCAUGCCUAACACAUGCAAGUCGGACGAGUGGCGGACGGGUGAGUAAUGUCUGGGAACGUGCCCGAUAGUGGGGGAUAACUACUGGACAGGGUAGCUAAUACCGCAUACUAUCCGAUGGGCCAAGAUGGGAUUAGCUAGUAGGUGGGGUAACGGCUCACCAAGGCGACGAUCACUAGCGGGUAUGAGAGGAUGACCAGCCACACUGGAACUGAGACACGGGCCAGACUCCGACGGGAGGCAGCAGUGGGGAAUAUGGCACAAUGGGCGCAAGCCUGAUGCAGCCAUGCCGCGUGUGUGAAGAAGGCCUUCGGGUUAUAAAGCACUUUCGGUGGGGAGGCGUUACUCGAAGAAGAAGCACCGGCUAACUCCGUGCCAGCAGCCGCGGUAAUUC
rnacentral:rRNA from 1 species